rnacentral:rRNA from 1 species
AAAUCCGGCUCUCUCUAAGGCUGAGACACGACGUCGAGCUGCUACGGCAGUGAAGUCAUUGAUGCCAUGCUUCCAGGAAAAGCCUCUAAGCUUCAGAUAGUCAGGAAUCGUACCCCAAACCGACACAGGUGGUCGGGUAGAGAAUACCAAGGCGCUUGAGAGAACUCGGGUGAAGGAACUAGGCAAAAUGGUACCGUAACUUCGGGAGAAGGUACGCUCUUGAUGGUGAAGUCCCUCGCGGAUGGAGCUGACGAGAGUCGCAGAUACCAGGUGGCUGCAACUGUUUAUUAAAAACACAGCACUGUGCAAAAUCGCAAGAUGACGUAUACGGUGUGACGCCUGCCCGGUGCCGGAAGGUUAAUUGAUGGGGUUAGCGCAAGCGAAGCUCUUGAUCGAAGCCCCGGUAAACGGCGGCCGUAACUAUAACGGUCCUAAGGUAGCGAAAUUCCUUGUCGGGUAAGUUCCGACCUGCACGAAUGGCGUAAUGAUGGCCACGCUGUCUCCACCCGAGACUCAGUGAAAUUGAAAUCGCUGUGAAGAUGCAGUGUACCCGCGGCUAGACGGAAAGACCCCGUGAACCUUUACUACAGCUUGGCACUGAACAUUGAACCUACAUGUGUAGGAUAGGUGGGAGGCUAUGAAGACGUGACGCCAGUUGCGUUGGAGCCGUCCUUGAAAUACCACCCUUGUAUGUUUGAUGUUCUAACUUAGACCCAUUAUCUGGGUUGAGGACAGUGCCUGGUGGGUAGUUUGACUGGGGCGGUCUCCUCCCAAAGAGUAACGGAGGAGCACGAAGGUGGGCUAAUCACGGUUGGACAUCGUGAGGUUAGUGCAAUGGCAUAAGCCCGCUUAACUGCGAGAAUGACGGUUCGAGCAGGUGCGAAAGCAGGUCAUAGUGAUCCGGUGGUUCUGUAUGGAAGGGCCAUCGCUCAACGGAUAAAAGGUACUCCGGGGAUAACAGGCUGAUACCGCCCAAGAGUUCAUAUCGACGGCGGUGUUUGGCACCUCGAUGUCGGCUCAUCACAUCCUGGGGCUGAAGUCGGUCCCAAGGGUAUGGCUGUUCGCCAUUUAAAGUGGUACGCGAGCUGGGUUUAGAACGUCGUGAGACAGUUCGGUCCCUAUCUGCCGUGGGCGUUGGAAGAUUGAAGGGGGCUGCUCCUAGUACGAGAGGACCGGAGUGGACGAACCUCUGGUGUUCGGGUUGUGUCGCCAGACGCAUUGCCCGGUAGCUAAGUUCGGAAUUGAUAAGCGCUGAAAGCAUCUAAGCGCGAAGCGAGCCCUGAGAUGAGUCUUCCCUGAUACUUUAAGUAUCCUAAAGGGUUGUUCGAGACUAGAACGUUGAUAGGCAGGGUGUGUAAGCGUUGUGAGGCGUUGAGCUAACCUGUACUAAUUGCCCGUGAGGCUUAACCAUACAACACCCAAGGGGUUUUGUA